rnacentral:rRNA from 1 species
AGUGAACGCUGGCGGUAGGCCUAACACAUGCAAGUCGAACGGCAGCACAGUAAGAGCUUGCUCUUACGGGUGGCGAGUGGCGGACGGGUGAGGAAUACAUCGGAAUCUACUUUUUCGUGGGGGAUAACGUAGGGAAACUUACGCUAAUACCGCAUACGACCUACGGGUGAAAGCAGGGGAUCUUCGGACCUUGCGCGAUUGAAUGAACCGAUGUCGGAUUAGCUAGUUGGCGGGGUAAAGGCCCACCAAGGCGACGAUCCGUAGCUGGUCUGAGAGGAUGAUCAGCCACACUGGAACUGAGACACGGUCCAGACUCCUACGGGAGGCAGCAGUGGGGAAUAUUGGACAAUGGGCGCAAGCCUGAUCCAGCUAUACCGCGUGGGUGAAGAAGGCCUUCGGGUUGUAAAGCCCUUUUGUUGGGAAAGAAAAGCAGCAGGUUAAUACCCCGCUGUUCUGACGGUACCCAAAGAAUAAGCACCGGCUAACUUCGUG